rnacentral:tRNA from 13 species
UGGCAGCGGUGGGAUUCGAACCCACGAAUCGAAAGACUGGUGCCUAAAACCAGCGCCUUAGACCACUCGGCCACGCUACC